UUAAGCGACUAAGCGUACACGGUGGAUGCCCUGGCAGUCAGAGGCGAUGAAGGACGUGCUAAUCUGCGAUAAGCGUCGGUAAGGUGAUAUGAACCGUUAUAACCGGCGAUUUCCGAAUGGGGAAACCCAGUGUGAUUCGUCACACUAUCAUUAACUGAAUCCAUAGGUUAAUGAGGCGAACCGGGGGAACUGAAACAUCUAAGUACCCCGAGGAAAAGAAAUCAACCGAGAUUCCCCCAGUAGCGGCGAGCGAACGGGGAGCAGCCCAGAGCCUGAAUCAGUGUGUGUGUUAGUGGAAGCGUCUGGAAAGGCGUGCGAUACAGGGUGACAGCCCCGUACACAAAAAUGCACAUAUUGUGAGCUCGAUGAGUAGGGCGGGACACGUGGUAUCCUGUCUGAAUAUGGGGGGACCAUCCUCCAAGGCUAAAUACUCCUGACUGACCGAUAGUGAACCAGUACCGUGAGGGAAAGGCGAAAAGAACCCCGGCGAGGGGAGUGAAAAAGAACCUGAAACCGUGUACGUACAAGCAGUGGGAGCACAGAGCAAUCUGUGUGACUGCGUACCUUUUGUAUAAUGGGUCAGCGACUUAUAUUCUGUAGCAAGGUUAACCGAAUAGGGGAGCCGAAGGGAAACCGAGUCUUAACUGGGCGUUAAGUUGCAGGGUAUAGACCCGAAACCCGGUGAUCUAGCCAUGGGCAGGUUGAAGGUUGGGUAACACUAACUGGAGGACCGAACCGACUAAUGUUGAAAAAUUAGCGGAUGACUUGUGGCUGGGGGUGAAAGGCCAAUCAAACCGGGAGAUAGCUGGUUCUCCCCGAAAGCUAUUUAGGUAGCGCCUCGUGAAUUCAUCUCCGGGGGUAGAGCACUGUUUCGGCAAGGGGGUCAUCCCGACUUACCAACCCGAUGCAAACUGCGAAUACCGGAGAAUGUUAUCACGGGAGACACACGGCGGGUGCUAACGUCCGUCGUGAAGAGGGAAACAACCCAGACCGCCAGCUAAGGUCCCAAAGUCAUGGUUAAGUGGGAAACGAUGUGGGAAGGCCCAGACAGCCAGGAUGUUGGCUUAGAAGCAGCCAUCAUUUAAAGAAAGCGUAAUAGCUCACUGGUCGAGUCGGCCUGCGCGGAAGAUGUAACGGGGCUAAACCAUGCACCGAAGCUGCGGCAGCGACGCUGAUGCGUUGUUGGGUAGGGGAGCGUUCUGUAAGCCUGCGAAGGUGUGCUGUGAGGCAUGCUGGAGGUAUCAGAAGUGCGAAUGCUGACAUAAGUAACGAUAAAGCGGGUGAAAAGCCCGCCUCGCCGGAAGACCAAGGGUUCCUGUCCAACGUUAAUCGGGGCAGGGUGAGUCGACCCCUAAGGCGAGGCCGAAAGGCGUAGUCGAUGGGAAACAGGUUAAUAUUCCUGUACUUGGUGUUACUGCGAAGGGGGGACGGAGAAGGCUAUGUUGGCCGGGCGACGGUUGUCCCGGUUUAAGCGUGUAGGCUGGUUUUCCAGGCAAAUCCGGAAAAUCAAGGCUGAGGCGUGAUGACGAGGCACUACGGUGCUGAAGCAACAAAUGCCCUGCUUCCAGGAAAAGCCUCUAAGCAUCAGGUAACAUCAAAUCGUACCCCAAACCGACACAGGUGGUCAGGUAGAGAAUACCAAGGCGCUUGAGAGAACUCGGGUGAAGGAACUAGGCAAAAUGGUGCCGUAACUUCGGGAGAAGGCACGCUGAUAUGUAGGUGAAGUCCCUCGCGGAUGGAGCUGAAAUCAGUCGAAGAUACCAGCUGGCUGCAACUGUUUAUUAAAAACACAGCACUGUGCAAACACGAAAGUGGACGUAUACGGUGUGACGCCUGCCCGGUGCCGGAAGGUUAAUUGAUGGGGUCAGCGCAAGCGAAGCUCUUGAUCGAAGCCCCGGUAAACGGCGGCCGUAACUAUAACGGUCCUAAGGUAGCGAAAUUCCUUGUCGGGUAAGUUCCGACCUGCACGAAUGGCGUAAUGAUGGCCAGGCUGUCUCCACCCGAGACUCAGUGAAAUUGAACUCGCUGUGAAGAUGCAGUGUACCCGCGGCAAGACGGAAAGACCCCGUGAACCUUUACUAUAGCUUGACACUGAACAUUGAGCCUUGAUGUGUAGGAUAGGUGGGAGGCUUUGAAGUGUGGACGCCAGUCUGCAUGGAGCCGACCUUGAAAUACCACCCUUUAAUGUUUGAUGUUCUAACGUUGACCCGUAAUCCGGGUUGCGGACAGUGUCUGGUGGGUAGUUUGACUGGGGCGGGUCUCCUCCUAAAGAGUAACGGAGGAGCACGAAGGUUGGCUAAUCCUGGUCGGACAUCAGGAGGUUAGUGCAAUGGCAUAAGCCAGCUUGACUGCGAGCGUGACGGCGCGAGCAGGUGCGAAAGCAGGUCAUAGUGAUCCGGUGGUUCUGAAUGGAAGGGCCAUCGCUCAACGGAUAAAAGGUACUCCGGGGAUAACAGGCUGAUACCGCCCAAGAGUUCAUAUCGACGGCGGUGUUUGGCACCUCGAUGUCGGCUCAUCACAUCCUGGGGCUGAAGUAGGUCCCAAGGGUAUGGCUGUUCGCCAUUUAAAGUGGUACGCGAGCUGGGUUUAGAACGUCGUGAGACAGUUCGGUCCCUAUCUGCCGUGGGCGCUGGAGAAUUGAGGGGGGCUGCUCCUAGUACGAGAGGACCGGAGUGGACGCAUCACUGGUGUUCGGGUUGUCAUGCCAAUGGCACUGCCCGGUAGCUAAAUGCGGAAGAGAUAAGUGCUGAAAGCAUCUAAGCACGAAACUUGCCCCGAGAUGAGUUCUCCCUGACUCCUUGAGAGUCCUGAAGGAACGUUGAAGACGACGACGUUGAUAGGCCGGGUGUGUAAGCGCAGCGAUGCGUUGAGCUAACCGGUACUAAUGAACCGUGAGGCUUAACCUU
rnacentral:rRNA from 1 species